GUUACAGCCUUGCUGAAUUAUUCACCCGUGUCUUUUGCGUACUUCUUGUUUCCUUGGUGGGUUCGCCCACCAUAGGACAAACCAUAAACCUUUUGUAAUUGCAAUCAGCGUCAGUAAAAAAAAUUAAUAAUUACAACUUUUAACAACGGAUCUCUUGGUUCUGGCAUCGAUGAAGAACGCAGCGAAAUGCGAUAAGUAGUGUGAAUUGCAGAAUUCAGUGAAUCAUCGAAUCUUUGAACGCACAUUGCGCCCUUUGGUAUUCCAAAGGGCAUGCCUGUUCGAGCGUCAUUUGUACCCUCAAGCUUUGCUUGGUGUUGGGCGUCUUGUCUCCAGUUCGCUGGAGACUCGCCUUAAAGUAAUUGGCAGCCGGCCUACUGGUUUCGGAGCGCAGCACAAGUCGCGCUCUCUUCCAGCCAAGGUCAGCAUCCACAAAGCCUUUUUUCAACUUUUGACCUCGGAUCAGGUAGGGAUACCCGCUGAACUUAAGCAUAUCAA
rnacentral:rRNA from 1 species